AACGAACGCUGGCGGCGUGCCUAAUACAUGCAAGUCGUGCGAGAAAGCCUGAUUUCGGUUGGGCGAGUAAAGCGGCGAACGGGUGAGUAACACGUGGACAAUCUACCUUUAAGUCUGGGAUAAUCCUUCGAAAGGGGGUCUAAUACCGGAUAACACCUCGAGACGGCAUCGUCUUGAGUUCAAAGGCGGGGCAACCUGUCGCUUAGAGAUGAGUCCGCGCUCCAUUAGCUAGUUGGUAGGGUAACGGCCUACCAAGGCGACGAUGGAUAGCCGACCUGAGAGGGUGACCGGCCACACUGGGACUGAGAUACGGCCCAGACUCCUACGGGAGGCUG
rnacentral:rRNA from 1 species